rnacentral:sRNA from 9 species
AUGUACUGCGCGUGCACUGCGAUUCCGAUCGCGCCGUCCACGCCCACCUGACGACUGCUCGCUACGUUAUGUUCUCC